rnacentral:lncRNA from 14 species
AGCUGCAGGAGAAAACCUCUGUGUGUGUGUUCUGAGGAAACUUAUUAAUUAAAUAUAAUAAUAUUUAAUUAUCUAAGUAAUAAGUGGCUUGGAGCUACAGGAGUCUGAUGAAGCCUAUGCAAGAGGCUGAGUAGGCUGGUGUGCUCAGGGUGCAGGAGGGAGAAAGAGACUCUACAAGGCUCAGAGUAUUUUCUGAAAAAGUCCUGCAGUGCAGAGGAGUCAAACAUUUGAUCACAUGCAGCAGCACAAGAUAGAUGGAGUACAGCUGACUCAACAGCUACAGGGGAUUUGGAAUGGAAACAAUCACUUGCUUGAAGGAAACAAUGUUAUCCAACUUGUGGUGUCAGUCAGCCUAUUCCCACAGUCACUGCAUUGAUGGAGGAAAAUUUUGUUUAUAAAGAAGGGGGAGAUGUGUGGAAUCCUGCACAAGAAGCUGCACCAGUAGACUUGGACGAGAGCCCAGACAUCUGGACUCUUAUCAGCCACAAACCCUGGGAGAAGUGAGCGGGACAAGUCGGGAAGAACAGGAAAAAGAACAUCAGGUGGAACCGAAGAAAGAGCAUAAAGGUAAUUUCUGAGGACUGUACAUUUGGAAACAGCAGGAUGCUUAGGCAAGAUAAAGAAUGUGUAGUCAAGGGGAAGUGGAAAUGACAAUGCGGCGAGUAGUGAUAGCAGAGAACUAUGUUUAGAAAUAAUUACUCAAGCAAAGGCGUGUUAACAGUAAUGUGAUUGGCUGGAAGAGUGCGUGAUCAGUAAGACUUUUUUGUGAUCAAAAAGUAGCAAAAGAAUUAACUGCUGCUAAGCACUAGGCAGAAUACUAUAAAAACCUGUAAGCUCACUCAAUAAAGGAUUUUGUUUGUAGCCA